ACAGUCUCACUCCCUACUCGUCAAAUGUCUGACGCAUGGUCAAGGGACCCUGGCGUCACUUUUUAACGCACUGGGUAUACCUUUGGCGUCAUUUUUCAACGUGCAGGGUAGUCCGAUAGACUUCUAUAGAACUCAACAGUGUUGAAAUUUGACGUCUUGGGUCAGCACACCGCAACCCGUUGUCUGCCUUGUAUGGGUGGAGACUACAAUAAAUAAAAAUAAAAAGGAAUAGGCUACAAAAAAGGAUCUAUGCCAGGGCGAGCAAAUGGCGGCCCCCAGAUCAUUUUUAUCUGGCCCUCCAACUGGUUUUUUGAUGUUUAAAAACCCUCUCAAUCUGAUAUCAAAGUGCCCUCUGCGCAAAGGUUUAGCGCGUUCAUCAGCGGUGAGUUUAACAACACUCAACUGCAGGUAAAACGGCAUUCAGAGGUGAGUUUGACCAAAGCAACGCUCAACUGCAGGUAAAAGCAUUAAAAUGUGAGUUUAACAACGCUCCAAGGCGCGUGCAAGUAAGCAGUUUAAGCGUUUUAUUACAACCCAUUCUCACUCCUAAAGCGCCAAAAACUGACGCCUCUAGCGUCACUAUGAAGACGCCAAAGGCGCCCCUCGGCGUCGCUAUAUCGACGCACUAGGACCUACAUUGCUUUUAGUGGGAAACUUUUGGCGUCAGUACUCAGACGCGAAGGGCAUGAGAUGUUUAUCGCUAUGAAAUCACGUUCAAGAAGUCUCAUUCAGCGCACAUCGCGAUAUUUGCCAUCAGUUUACAUGUGCCACAGGUUGGCUGAAAAGACAUGAAGGAAGCAGUCAGCCCAGUCGUGUUUGUGGAGAGGUAUUCCUUCAGAAAAUGGAGAAGAUAGAAAGCUGCGGAGGCAGACAUUUGCAGCAGUCUACAACAUCGAGCUCAACAGAUCUUUUAAGAGCCAACCCUCACAAACCUUGCUCUCAGCGAAUCUUGCCAUGAUCAGCCCUUUCCAGAAGAGAAGAUCAAGGAAAUUAUUUGUUCAGGAUGAGGAAUGAAGACGGCCAUCUU